GUUUUGAUACUUACAGUGGUGAAUUUCUGACCUUUUAUUUCUUUUUUUUGGUCUAUAAAUUCCAACACUGUGUAUUGUUGAGAGAAGUGAACUACGCACUAAAUGAUUUAUUGAUUAUAAUGAGUAGAAGUUUGAGGUAACAUUUAAAAAACAGAGAACAACACAAGGACUCCCGCAAAAAUCUUAACCUUUCUCUUUUUUUGGCGAUCCUCUUUCAACUAAUGAGACGUAGGUGAGCUAUGACGUCAUGUAACAUUUCUUUGCUUCAGUAGCGAAAUAGCUAUUUCCAACAAACCAUAAAAGUAUGCUCAGAAUACUCAUCUUUCUGAAAAAAAUUUUAAAUAUAAGAAAGCUGUAACUCACACAUGCCCAGACGUCACAAGUAGCCGUAUCGUGUAAUAUGAAUCGCAUCUCUACCAGGCUUGUGUCCAAAAAUUUGAUCUAUUGCAAAAUUAAAAUCCUGUGAGGUUGCCAAAGAGAUGCUUCUUAACGAAACAGAAAACAAACGCAUCGCUGGGUCAUGCCAGAUUUGACAAUAUUUAGAUUUUCCCUACUCGGAAAACUCAAAUAUUUGCUUCUGAGAACGCGCAAUAUACUAUUUUUAGGUUUCUGCACUAAAAUAAUUUAUCAUUACAACAAAAUUAAAGAAUGAAUUAUUUAGUCCAGUUGAAAUUACCUUUAAAGUGUAAAUUUUCAAAUUUCAGUUUUUUGGAAAUAAA